GGAAGGAACAAUGACUUUGCUCCCUCCCCGAUCAGGUGUUUUCCUUUCAGGCCCUUGAUCUCUCACCCAAGAAUGGAGAGGGGAUCCCAGCGUCGCGGUGAGCUCGUUUAAGUAAAUAUGGAACCCAAAGAAUUUUGCAGAAAAUGGUUUAUUUAGGCAGAGAGAGAAAGAGAAAGAAAUAGAGAGAGAGAGAGA